UGGGGAAUCUUCCGCAAUGGACGAAAGUCUGACGGAGCAACGCCGCGUGAGUGAAGACGGCCUUCGGGUUGUAAAGCUCUGUGAUCCGGGACGAAAGAGCCUGAGGUGAAUAGCCUAAGGAAGUGACGGUACCGGAAAAGCAAGCCACGGCUAACUACGUGCCAGCAGCCGCGGUAAUACGUAGGUGGCAAGCGUUGUCCGGAAUUAUUGGGCGUAAAGCGCGCGCAGGCGGCUUCCUAAGUCCAUCUUAAAAGGGCGGGGCUUAACCCCGUGAUGGGAUGGAAACUGGGAAGCUGGAGUAUCGGAGAGGAAAGUGGAAUUCCUAGUGUAGCGGUGAAAUGCGUAGAGAUUAGGAAGAACACCGGUGGCGAAGGCGACUUUCUGGACGAAAACUGACGCUGAGGCGCGAAAGCGUGGGGAGCAAACAGG
rnacentral:rRNA from 1 species